rnacentral:rRNA from 1 species
AACGAACGCUGGCGGCAGGCUUAACACAUGCAAGUCGAGCGCCCCGCAAGGGGAGCGGCAGACGGGUGAGUAACGCGUGGGAAUCUACCCAUCUCUACGGAAUAACGCAUGGAAACGUGUGCUAAUACCGUAUACGUCCUUCGGGAGAAAGAUUUAUGGGAGAUGGAUGAGCCCGCGUUGGAUUAGUGAGUUGGUGGGAUAAAGGCCUACCAAGGCGACGAUCCAUAGCUGGUCUGAGAGGAUGAUCGGCCACACUGGGACUGAGACACGGCCCAGACUCCUACGGGAGGCAGCAGUGGGGAAUAUUGGACAAUGGGCGCAAGCCUGAUCCAGCUAUGCCGCGUGAGUGAUGAAGGCCCUAGGGUUGUAAAGCUCUUUCACCGGUGAAGAUAAUGACGGUAACCGGAGAAGAAGCCCCGGCUAACUUCGUGCCAGCCGCCGCGGUAACAC